rnacentral:rRNA from 1 species
GAUGAACGCUAGCGGCGUGCCUAACACAUGCAAGUCGAACGUGAGAGGGUACUUGUAUCCUUGAAAGUGGCGGACGGGUGAGUAAGACGUAGGUGACCUGCCUUGAAGUGGGGGAUAACCAUUGGAAACGAUGGCUAAUACCGCAUAAGCUGGUGAUGAUGGGAAUCGUUAUCAGGAAAGCUUUAGUGCUUUAAGAGGGGCCUACGGCCGAUUAGCUAGUUGGUGGGGUAAAGGCUCACCAAGGCGAUGAUCGGUAGCUGGUCUGAGAGGAUGGCCAGCCACAUCGGGACUGAGACACGGCCCGGACUCCUACGGGAGGCAGCAGUCGGGAAUAUUGGACAAUGGGCGCAAGCCUGAUCCAGCAAUACCGCGUGUGUGAAGAAGGCCUGCGGGUUGUAAAGCACUUUCAGUUGGGAAGAUAAUGACGUUACCAACAGAAGAAGCACCGGCUAACUCCGUG